AUGCGGCCGCGCGGCAGGAAGAGGCGGGGCGCGCCGCCGCCGGGGCCGGGCCGGGCCGUUGGGGGCCGGGCCGCAGCGCAGCGCAGGGCAGGGAUGAGCCGGCCGGAGGCCGCGCUGGAGGGGCUGAUGAAGGAGCUGGGCGCCGGGAUGGCGGAGCUGCGCGCCCGGCGCGACGAGCUGGCGCGGCUGAUCCAGGGCGAGGAGGCGGAGAGGAGCCGGCUGCAGGGCGAGAUCUGGGCGCUCACCGAGAAGCUGGCGCGCACCAACGAGAGCCUGGCCCGCAAGAUGGCCACGCGCAACGACUUCGACCGGACCAUCGCCGAGACCGAGGCGGCCUACGGCAAGAGCGUGACAGGUGGGGCUCUGCACACUGACUCAAGAAUACCCUGUGCGUGAGUUACCGUCCCUACAAGCAACUGCUUCAGGCACCGUAUCUGCAUUUUCCAAAGUCAGUACUUCCCAGUCAGCCCUUCCAGUGACGGUUGUUGUUCAGAUAAAGCUGGAGCUGUUUCCUUUGCCUGCUUCAAGAAAUGAUGGCUUGAGAUUCUGGAGAGUUCUCAGACAUUGCUAAGUGUCCUGAAGGGAGAAAUGGGGAAUACUAGUAAAGCCACUGAGUUGAACAGCACUUCAAAAGAAAAACAAGCAGAUGGACAAAAGCAUUCCUAAACUUGCUCUUCAACCUGGAAAGACCUGUGGGUCUGGGACAGCUGCUCUGGUACAAGGAUGCCACAUUUAAUAAAUGUUUUUGUCUUGCA